CGUGCUAAUAGUGCAAUGGCAUAAGCGUGCUUAACUGCGAGACCGACAAGUCGAGCAGGUACGAAAGUAGGACAUAGUGAUCCGGUGGUUCUGUAUGGAAGGGCCAUCGCUCAACGGAUAAAAGGUACUCUGGGGAUAACAGGCUGAUUCCUCCCAAGAGUUCAUAUCGACGGGGGAGUUUGGCACCUCGAUGUCGGCUCAUCACAUCCUGGGGCUGUAGCCGGUCCCAAGGGUAUGGCUGUUCGCCAUUUAAAGUGGUACGUGAGCUGGGUUUAAAACGUCGUGAGACAGUUUGGUCCCUAUCUGCCGUGGGCGUUGGAAAUUUGAAGGGGGCUGCUCCUAGUACGAGAGGACCGGAGUGGACGAACCUCUGGUGUACCGGUUGUCACGCCAGUGGCAUUGCCGGGUAGCUAAGUUCGGAAGAGAUAACCGCUGAAAGCAUCUAAGCGGGAAACUUGCCUUGAGAUGAGAUUUCCCGGAGCCUUGAGCUCCUUGAAGGGUCGUUCGAGACCAGGACGUUGAUAGGCUGGGUGUGGAAGUGCAGUAAUGCAUUAAGCUAACCAGUACUAAUUGCCCGUACGGCUUGUCCCUAUAACCUUGGUAGGCUAUA
rnacentral:rRNA from 1 species